rnacentral:lncRNA from 1 species
CUUGUAGCAAAUAAUACAAUACUCCUAACUACUGUUCGUGGGGCUCUUACUUGGGUGGAAGCUCAGGUUAUGAAGUUACAUAGACACAGGUUCAGAGCCUGGCUCCUUCGCUCAUCAGCUGUGUGUCUUCAGGUGAGUUACUAUGCCUCUCUGUUCUUUAGGCUUCUCAUCUUUAACAUGAGGACUGCCUGCUGUGUGCUAGGCUUGGCGCUGUGAUGAGACCUUGAGACACCCAGCUCACUGAGACCUCCAGACAACUCUGUAACAUAAGGAGCUGAGUAAGCCCAUUUUACAGACAGGAAAUGCCAAGUCACCCAACAAAUGAAAUGGGGAGCUGCAGGUUGCCUGGGAACCUCCGCCUGCGUGAAUGGCAACGCCUUCCCAAAGUGUCACACGUGGCCAACUUGCUCUGCCCAGACUGUCACCUGCGCUUGUGUCAGCACAGCUUGUGGCUAGGAGGUGAGUUGUUCAGCACAGGCAAGGAACACCGGGAGCACCCCCGGAGGGAGUCACCAC